rnacentral:rRNA from 1 species
AUCGAACGCUGGCGGCAGGCCUAACACAUGCAAGUCGAACGAGUGGCGGACGGGUGAGUAAUGUCAGGGAAACUGCCUGAUGGAGGGGGAUAACUACUGGAAAAGGUAGCUAAUACCGCAUACCAUCAGCUGUGCCCAGAUGGGAUUAGCUUGUUGGUGGGGUAACGGCUCACCAAGGCGACGAUCCCUAGCUUGUCUGAGAGGAUGACCAGCCACACUGGAACUGUGACACGGACCAGACUCCUACGGCAGGCAGCAGUGGGGAAUAUUGCACAAGCGGCGAAAGCCUGAUGCAGCCAUGCCGCGUGUAUGAAGAAGGCCUUCGGGUUGAAAAGUACUUUCAGCGGGGAUGCGUUACCCGCAGAAGAAGCACCGGCUAACUCCGUGCCAGCAGCCGCGGUAAUAC